UGGAACUUAUUUUGAACAGGCUGUAUAAAACAGCUGAUCAUAUAAGUUU
rnacentral:pre_miRNA from 1 species